UGAUUAUAGAUGAUUCCAAAAUGGAUGGUGGUUUGGUGUACUCAGUCGUCACUAUCUCAAAGCCAAGAAACACUGCUCACUGUGAUGUUGCAUCAGGAGGGAAACACGCUGACCAAGCAGACCAGCAACCAUCCUGCAACACAUACGCCACCCUGAGGCACACAGAUAUGCGAGGGGAUGAGGAACCAGGUCAAGAUGAAGAGGGAAACGUUUACGCCAACCUUCC